CAGCGCCCCUUCCUCCACCCACUCAGCUGCGACGUGGCAGCCGAGCGUGGGCCCUGGGGCGACGC
rnacentral:pre_miRNA from 1 species